rnacentral:lncRNA from 1 species
UUUUAAUUCAUAUUUUAAACCAAAUAUCUUUCUAAUAACAAAUAGGUUAACUUGAUUCCUUUUUUCCCUCCAGAGAAACUAGCAUACAGAAUUUUCCUCAUAUUGAGGUAGUUCGGAAAAAAGAAGAGAGAAGGAAAUUGCUUGGGCACACAUGUAAAGAAUGUGAAAUUGUAAGUACUGAUGUAAACACUUCUUUUGAAGUGAGAUUUUAUAGAUCGUAAGUGCCUGAUUUGAAAAUCACAGAUCCUAUUUAUAUUCAGAAACUUUGCUCACUGCAGUAAUGAUAGAAAGAAUAAGGAACCUAUCAGCUGGAACUAGCAUCUAUAAAUAAAUAGAUAGAAAAAAAUGAGAGUGAAAGCCCCCAGCUUGUCCUGGAGCCUGAAGCCUAACCCUAAUUCCAUUUUAAAUUGCAUUUAUUCACUUUAAUGUGGAAUUGGGUACAUGUGUACCACAGUGAGGGUGGGGUCAGAGAAUCACUUGUGGGAGUUGGUUUUUUCUUCUCAUCAUGUGCGUCUGGGGACUGAACUUUGGUCAUCUGGCUUGGUGAGCAACAAUAAAUUGCUGAGCCGUUUUGCGGGUACUGUACAUUCUAAUUCUUAUGGCUCUCUUAGGACAUUAUGUGCCACUUUUCUUUUCUGUAGUCACUUGCAAAUACUGAUGUACAUAUACCAUUUAGGGAAAAAUGAGACUUUAGCAAGAAACGAUCAUUUACUCUUUUCACUCUCUGGACGUAGCUAUACCCAUAACUAUUUAAAGAAUCAGUACCACUAUAAGCCCCAUUUUUCUCUGAGAUAAUUUUCAUCACAAAUUGAUAAAAAUAAGUUUCCCUUCAUCCUUAGAACACUUACAUUUUUACCUUUUUUCAUUGGCUAGCUUAUGUUGAAGAAAUCAAUACUAACUAUCCUAUUAAUAUGUUGUCCCAGAUAGGUUAUUUAAUAUCUUAAAAUGUGCUGGUUUUUUUCCUAUCUCACUAUCAGCUGGUAGAUGCUCUCCUCAACAUCUACCUUCCUCAUUUAGACUUUCUUAUUAACUGAUAUCUUGAAAAUUUAAUAAUCAAGACACAUUAAAAUAGCAUGUUGAAAGUAUGACUUGAUGAUAGUAAGGACUUGGUGGAAAUAUGCUCUUACAGAAGGAGUACAGACUGGAACCAUUUUGAGAAACAAUUGGACAGUUGCAGUCAUUGUUUUCUGUUGUAAAGCAUUGUGAUGGAAAGCGCUUGGAGGAAAGGACUUGUGUGGCUUAUACUUCUGUGCAACAGGCCAGCGUGGAAAGAAGUCAGAGCAAAAACUCAAGGCAGUUUCCUGGGACAGGAACUGAAACAGAGGCCAUGGAGUGGUGCUGCUUACUGCUUGCUCCUCAAGGCUUGCUUAUCCUGCUCUCUUAUAGAACCUUGGGUGGCCCCACCUACAAUGAGCUGGGCCCUCCCAUAUCAGUCAUUAAUCAAGAAAAUGCCCCACACAGUUGCCUACAAACAGUGUGAUGGAGACAUUUCCUUAAUUUUGAUGUUCUUCUUCCAUAUGACUUUAGCUGACAUAGAGUUGAUUAAAAAAAAUUGCCAGCACAUCAGUACAAAUGAAACCACUUAUAUCUUGAAAUUUUAUAGCACAAACAUUGUUACUCUAUUUUUCUUCUCAGUGAUCAAUGUCUUCUUGAUGUCUAGUCAUUGAAAAUGGAUGUUUCUUUCAUUUCAUGUAGUUCUGCUAGUUAUUUAAUGUAAAAGAGGUUUUUUUAAUGGC